UACAGAGGUCUCAAGCGUUGUUCGGAUUCAUUGGGCGUAAAGGGUGCGUAGGCGGCUCGGUAAGUCGGGUGUGAAAUUUCGAGGCUUAACUUCGAAACUGCAUUCGAUACUGCCGUGCUAGAGGACUGGAGAGGAGACUGGAAUUUACGGUGUAGCGGUGAAAUGCGUAGAUAUCGUGAGGAACACCAGAGGCGAAGGCGGCUCCCUGGACAAUUGCUGACGCUCAGGAACGAAAGCGUGGGGAGCAAAAGGG
rnacentral:rRNA from 1 species